AUUGAACGCUGGCGGCAUGCCUUACACAUGCAAGUCGAACGGUAACGGGCCUUCGGGUGCCGACGAGUGGCGAACGGGUGAGUAAUGCAUCGGAACGUACCUCUCAGUGGGGGAUAACGUAGCGAAAGUUACGCUAAUACCGCAUAUUCUGUGAGCAGGAAAGCAGGGGAUCGCAAGACCUUGCGCUGAUUGAGCGGCCGAUGUCAGAUUAGCUAGUUGGUGAGGUAAAGGCUCACCAAGGCGACGAUCUGUAGCGGGUCUGAGAGGAUGAUCCGCAAAACUGGAACUGAGACACGGUCCAGAAUCCUACGGGAGGCAGCAGUGGGGAAUUUUGGACAAUGGGGGCAACCCUGAUCCAGCCAGGCCGCGUGAGUGAAGAAGGCCUUCGGGUUGUAAAGCUCUUUCGGCCGGGAAGAAAUCGCACGGGCUAAUACCCUGUGUGGAUGACGGUACCGGAAUAAGAAGCACCGGCUAACUACGUGCCAGCCGCCGCCGUAACAC
rnacentral:rRNA from 1 species